rnacentral:rRNA from 1 species
ACAUCCAGCGAACUUGGCAGAGAUGCCUUGGUGCCUUCGGGAACGCUGAGACAGGUGCUGCAUGGCUGUCGUCAGCUCGUGUUGUGAAAUGUUGGGUUAAGUCCCGNAACGAGCGCAACCCUUAUCCUUUGUUGCCAGCGAUUCGGUCGGGAAACUCAAAGGAGACUGCCGGUGAUAAACCGGAGGAAGGUGGGGAUGACGUCAAGUCAUCAUGGCCCUUACGAGUAGGGCUACACACGUGCUACAAUGGCGCAUACAAAGAGAAGCGACCUCGCGAGAGCAAGCGGACCUCAUAAAGUGCGUCGUAGUCCGGAUCGGAGUCUGCAACUCGACUCCGUGAAGUCGGAAUCGCUAGUAAUCGUGGAUCAGAAUGCCACGGUGAAUACGUUCCCGGGCCUUGUACACACCGCCCGUCACACCAUGGGAGUGGGUUGCAAAAGAAGUAGGUAGCUUAACCUCCGGGAGGGCGCUUACCACUUUGUGAUUCAUGACUGGGGUGAAGUCGUAACAAGGUAAGCGUAGCGAG